rnacentral:lncRNA from 10 species
CCCCAAAGACCAAGUUGUCAUUGCUGCCUCUGGGUGGGGACGCUGGUUCCCACUGCCUCUCCAUGGCUGAAGAGAGAGAGGCCACCCAUGGGAAGGAGAGGACAUGGGGCAAAGAGCCAUUUUCUUCUUAAAAGCAAAUGCAUGACAAGCCCCUAUUUCCUUUUCCCUCUGGCUUCAGUCUCUAGCUGAAACCCUGUCUGGCAGUGGCUUGAGCAGAAAGGGGAGGAUCCUGCCGGGCACCUGGUGGGGGCCUUUGCAUCAGGCCAGAGGACAAGAGGGAAAGAGUGAAGUGGGAAUCCAGCCCUUUCCAUCAGCAAGGAACGUCACUGCAGUAAGGACAUAACAACGUCACUGCAGUAAGGACAUAAUAAAGCCAGCCAGAGGCAAGAACAUUAAUGUUCCCGUGAUGGGGAUGAGGAGCAACUUCCGCUGGACUUUUAAAACACACUGUAGUUCACGAAGCCCAAAUUCUACUUUAGAGAACCCUGAGUUAGGGGCCAGAGGUCAAAUUCAACAUCCUCUCCCCAAGUUGCCCGUUGGUAAAUAAGAAGGUUGGGUCAUUUUAGGAACUGGGGUCUCGCCAGAGAAAAGAAAUAUAUUGAGAAUAUACAGAUGCUCCUCAACAUAUGAUGGGGCUACAUCUUGAUAAAUACAUCGUAAGUUUAAAAUAUUGUAACUAAGUUAGGCGUGUUGGCUCACGUCUGUAAUCCCAACACUUUGGGAAGCUGAGGUGGGAGGAUUGCUUGAGUCCAGGAGUUCUAGCCUGGGCAACAUAGGGAGACCCCGCCUCUACAAAAAAAUAAACAAAAUUGGCCGGGCAUGGUGGCACAUACCUGUGGUCCCGACUGCUAUGGAGGCUGAGGUAGGAGGAUUGCUUGAGCCCAGGAGUUCAAGGCUGCAGUGAGCCGUGGUUGCACCACUGUACUCCAGUCUGGAUGACAGAGCAAGACCCUGUCAACCAAAAGAAAAUAAAAAAAAGAAAAAGAAAGAAAGAAAGAAAAAGAGGAAAGAAAAGAAAUAAAAGAAAAUAUCAAGAAAGAAAAGUCAAAAAUUCAUGUUAAAUACACCUAACCUACCAAACAUCAUAGCUUAGCCUGGCCUACCUUAAACGUGCUCAGAACAAUUACAUUAGCCUACGUUUCAGCAAAGUCAUCUAACACAAAGCCUAUUUUAUAACAAAGUGUUGAAUGUCUCAUGUAAUUUAUUUAAUACUAGUUUGAAAGUGAAAAACAGAAAUGGUUUUUGUAUGGGUACUGAAAGUACGGUUUCUACUGAAUGUAUAUGGCUUUCACACCAUCAUAAAGUUGAAAAAUCAUAAUUUGAACCACCAUAAAUAGGGUACCAUCUGUCUUGGGAUUCCAGAAAUUUGCCCACUGGUUGGACUGGCCCUGCUCUGGAUGUUGGACAUGGGUAAGUUCCAGAACUCGGUAACCAGAAGAAAAAUUUCUAAGCAACAGGUACUAACCACAGGCCACUGUGCAGCCUUCCUCUACCAGUUCACCUCUCUCCUCUCACAGGGCCAAGGGAAACUAGGCAGUGUCCAGGUCUGUCCCCGCUGGCUCUCGGCUAUCUGAUAGUCUCUGGAGCCACAAAGGGGAAGUCCCGAAUAGCAGCAUCAAUCAGCAGAGCUUGGCUCAAAUGUGCCCUGUGGAGUGUUGUUACUCUUUCUGUUAGCUUGAGGAGACAAUAGGCUGUCUCAUGGCUGUCAUUAAACUCAGCAAAAGCAAGAUGGCUAAAUCCAUAGCCUCUCAAUUGAUGAAUGCUUUAAGAAGAGACCAUCCCAGUGCCAAUAUCUUUGAGUCCAAAAUGACAUUUAUUUAAUCUGGCUUCCCCCUUGCUUCUGUGGAAUAUUGAGUGCUGCUGCUGAGCUAACCCAGAGCAAACUGAGGCAUGGGGAAGCUUGUUCUCUGAGCUCCUGCAGGCAGCAGCUCAUCCACCUCGAUACACCAACUCCCCUUCCCUGACCACCCCCUUCCCACACCACUCUCCUGUAUCCCCGGCUUUCAGCCUGGAGGAUGCUCUUCCUUGGGGACCUGAUUUUAAUUUUUUAGGGACUCAUGUCUGACCGAUUUCUUGCCAAGCUCCUAUCCUGGUCUAGGAACAAGCUGGACGCCUCUAUACGCAUGCUUUUAUUUAAUCCCCACAGCCACUCUGUAAAAUAGGCAUUAUUCUCAUUUUGCAGAUGACAAAACCAAGACAAGUUCAAUGACUGCCCAAGGUUCACAUGGACACCAAAGGCAGAGUGGGAAUUUAACCCAGGUUCUCCAACUCCCAAACCAGUGCCCUUUCCAUCCGCACCACAGUUCAUGUCUAACGGUGAAAGUUCAAGGGUGGUGACGGCUGAUAAGAUAGUUUUUGUCUGGAGGAACCUCGAUAAUGUUUUGCAAGCUAUGAAGCUCAAUACACACAAAAGAAGACGUUUAAUUACACCAUGCUGGUCUCUGCCCUCUCCUGCACAGGAGCACUGAGCCCAGAAAAUCCAUUCAUCCAUCCAUUUGGUACAAACAAUAAGUCAUCUUCCUGUUUAUGCUGGAUGAAUAGCAAAAAUGCUGCCUCUCCCACCAAUAAAUCUAGUUAACCA